AUGAAUCCAUAAAUGCACCAUGAAUAAUUAUAUGUUGACAUUCAACGAAAUGGGGCUAGCUAAAGCCCAAAGCCAGAGAAAAAUCGAGGCAGAGAACCUUCCAUCCCACACUAUAAAACAGCACCUUCACUCUCCAAUUUUCUCAUCACACUUAGCAAACUCAUUCAUAUCAAAUCUUCAUUUCUCUUCCAUUUCUCCAAAUUCCAAGAGGUAAUCAUGGGUGUGAUCACUUACGAUGUAGAGACCCCUUCCUCCAUCCCGGCCGGGAAGCUCUUCAAGGCCCUGGUGAUCGACUCCGACACCCUCAUCCCCAAGAUCCUGCCUCAGGCCAUCAAGAACGUCGAGAUCUUGGAAGGAGACGGCGGCGCCGGCACCGUCAAGAUCAUUCAUUUUGGCGAAGGGAGUCAGUAUAAGAGCGUCAAGCACCGUGUGGAGGCCAUCGACAAGGAGAACUUCACCUACACCUACACCAUCAAUGAAGGUGAUGUUCUCGCAGAUGUCAUUGAAUCCAUCACUUACCAUAUCAAGGUCGUCCCAACCGAAGAUGGAGGAAGCAUCUGCAAGAACAGGAGCAUUUACAACACCAAGGGUGAUGCUGUGAUUGAUGAGGAGAAGAUCAAGGAGGGGAAAGACAAGGCCCAACAUAUGUUCAAGGCCAAUGAGGCUUACAUCACCGCCAACCCCGACUACUGAAAGAGACGAGGCUUCAUAUAUCAAUGAUGUCAUUUUAUAUAUAUACGUGGUUUCUGAUAUGAGAUAAUUGGUGUGCGAGAGACUAUGUAUAGGCUUAAUUGCCUAGAGUGAUAUCGAUUUACUUUGUGUGAUUUUUGAAUUUGUGUUGAGUGAAUAUUAUUGUAUUGAAUUUGUGUUGCACUAAAUAAAGAAGCAUAGUUUUUUUUUUUUUUUUUUGAAUUAAUAAAGAAGCAUAGUUAAUUGCAAGUUUGGUGGUCGUGGGAUUAAUAUUUUUAUUGUUCUCUUGUGGUUGUUUUGUUUCUUUAUUUAGGGGUAACUAAUAUAUCCAUAUAUUUCAGAUUAGCAUAUGAACAUAAAUUUCACCUCAAAAUACAAGAACUUUCAUUUUUUAUUUUUUAUUUUUUUCUUUCUAACUUUGCACCUGAUAAAUAAUUUAACGUUGAAAACUGAGGAAGAUGUUGGAAUUAAUCUAUGUAUGCAUAGAGUUUUGAUAUAUAUUUUUAAUGAAUGAAUACUGAGGUAGAAGUCAGAAUUAUCUUUACAUGCAACGAAUUUUUUUUAUAAACAACAUAGUUAGACUAGUAAUGAAAUAUUGUCGUUUCAUCAUAAAAUAAGUCCUAUAUUUUUAGAUGAUCAUUUAAAGCAUUUUUUUUUUUGCAAUUUAAGACUAAGAGCAGUGGCGGAUCCAGGGGGGGCUAGGGGGGGCUUCAGCCCCCUCCCAAUUUUUGAGUUUUUUUUUUUAAAUUAUAGAUAUAUAUUUAUUAUUUUGUUUUAUAUCUAUAUAUAUGUGUAUAUAAAUAAAAAAAUACAAGAAAAAAUAUAGUAAUACAUUAUUUAUAGUAUCCAACUAUCCAUAUUAAUUGCUCAACACAUUGAGUUGUUACAUUUAUAGUAUUAUUUUUAUCAUUUUUUCUUUCUUAGUUAAUUUUUAAUGUUAAAUUUGAGUCAAUUCUAAAGGUAAAAGUAAAAUUACUAAUUACUAACAAUGAAAAUUAGUUUAUUUGUUUAGAAGAUGAAACAAUUUUUUUUUAAGAAAAAUGAAUAAAAGUACGUUUUUAUAUGCUUUCAAUCUACUUGAUGUUGAAUUAAUUGAAUUGCGAACAAUUAUCUUAUUAUAUUAAGUGAUUGUUGAAAAAAUGUAUGAAAUGAAGUGUACGGAAUGCUCAAAAAAAUUUGCUUCGGGGGCUCCCGCCCCCGAACCCCCGUGUAAAUAUUUUCAAGCACCGUAGUCCAAUAGAUUCAGCCCCCCCUAACAUUGAAUCCUGGAUCCGCCCCUGACUAAGAGGGUUGUGAGUUCACGAUCAAGGCCGUACUUCAUUAUUCGUGAUUCAUGAUUUUGAAUUCGUUGUUCGGGUCCAAUAUUUAGGUUCACAUAAUUAGGUCUUCGAGUUGUGUGUUUGUAAUUGAAUCCGUUGAAAAUAUUUUUAAUUUGUGUGCAAGAUUAGGGGGAAAAAAAUGAAAUUUUAUAUAUUUGGAAAUAUGAUUUAUAGCUCAUGUGCAAAAUAAAAAAAUAUAUAAAUUUUUUUAAGAUGCUAUUACCACUUUUAUUUAUUUUCGAGUUGAGUUCAAAAUCAUAAUUAAGGAAGACUGAUAAAAUCUAGAGGUCAAUCGUUUAGGUUGCUCACUGACAAUGAAAUGUGCAAAAUUAAUAUAAAAAUAGGCCAGUGAACCAUGUGGAUUGAAUCGGAGUCUUUUUUAGGUUCAUUUAUAUAGUUGGACAUAAAAGGGGAUAGAGGUUUAAUUCACUCAGUAUAAAAGUUGACGGUGAAUUUUAGACCAAUUAAUGAGAAACAAAUUUUUUAGAAAAUCAAGAAUUUAUGAAUAACUUUUAAUAAAAUAUCAUAUAUAUUUAUUUUCUUUAUCCAGUACUUGAUUUUUAUCCUGUGAUUAUUUAUUAGAUUGCUGAUCCAGUGACUUGAUUUUUAUUGUAUUGGAAAUUGAAUUAUAUAUUCUAGGGUAAAUUUAAUCUAAAACUAUAAUAAAUUUUUGUAAUAUUUUAUUUUUUUUCCAUAAUCUUUUAUUCUUGUUUCAUAAUCUAUUUGAAAUCUCUUGAUUUGAGUUUAGUCUGUAUCUCUGGGCCAAAACGUCAAAUUUGUAUAUGGCCCAAAGGCUUUUAAUGGGCUACAUAGUCAAAUGGGCCGAAUUUUUAGGUCGAGAGUCCAUUGGGUCAAAAUUGCAACUACAGAACGGAAUAUUCUAUUUAAGGAGAUUGGAGUACUUGGACGACGCUGGGGUCAAAAAUUAUUAAUGCGAAUUUUUUUCUAAAUAUUAGACUUUUAAUAAUACAGAGACGACUCUUUACAGAAAUGAAUAUUUUUUAAACAAAAUACUACUUAUAAUAUAUAGUUUAUCCUCGUAUCUUAAGUGACUUUAUUUGUAGGUAUUAUUGUUCGUUUUUUAGUUAAAUGCUUAUUAUGAUGUUUGUAAUUGCAAAAAAUUAAAAGGCAUUCGUAUGAAAAUUGUAUAUUCAGAAAAGAUGGGUUAUUAUUGUGUGAUCACAAUUCACAAGCUUGAGCAGACUUAUUCAAGGAGAUUUGCUGCUCAAAUUUGUGUUCACAUUUAUUGCCAAAUACAAUCAAGAGAAAGUGUAGACUAGUCUACCAUGGAGUGCUACGUACAACCAAUUUUGGUCUUAAAAUAAAUGCAAGUGUGAAUUUUUCUUCUUAUUCUGUUUCUAUAUAUAUAAUUGAAAUAGCUCUCAAUUGACCCUACAAGAAUGCUUCAACUUGUGAUGUCAAAGCAAUUAUAGUAAAGACUGUGAAGUAAUAUAAAAAUACGAUUAACUUACAUCAUUCGGGAAAUUUUCUAUGCAUUUUCUUGACAUGUUUCACAUGCAUGCCACAAGGUGAAGCAAAAAACAUAUGACUUCUUAUUCAUUUUAAUUUAAUACUAAGUUAAAGUUAACUUAAAUCAAUAUCAUGAUUUGGCAUUGACGAACUCAUGCAGCUUAUAAAAUAUCAAGCAUAAUGAUUAGAUAAAAAUCGUCAUACUCGAGUGGUAAAAAAGAAAGAUACAGAUCCUUUUGGGACGGCUAAUGGUAAAGUGAAUAUAAACGUGGUUUAAGUCUGUUAUAUAGACCUAUUUUUUUAAAAUGAGAUUUGCAGAUUUCACAGAAACAUAGAUUUAUCAAAUAAUACGACUUGUCACACAUAGUUUUUGAUGUAUGAUUUGUCUGUAUCGAAUCUUAAUAUCAUAAUGAAUAGUUUUUUUUUUCACAUUUUUUCACUAUUUUCAAUACUAAUUACAAUACAUUUUCACCACUUUCAAUACUAAUUACUCCCUCCGUCCCGGUCAAAGUGGUGCACUUCUUUUGGGCACGGGAUUUAAAGAGAAUAAGAUUGUAGUGUAAAAGUGUGUAAAUGUGUGUGGGGCCAUAUUUUUUGUAGUGUAAAAUUAUUACCAAAAAAGGAAAUGCACCACUUUCGGUGGGACAGCCCAAAAAAGAAUACGCACUACUUUCGGUGGGAUGGAGGAAGUAUAAUAUUUUUCACUAUUUACAAUAUACUCAACAAUUUUGUAUUAAAAUUCGUACCCCUUAGGAAGUUAUUUGGGGGUCGGUAGAGGAUAAUGCCAUGUUCUAUGACACCCCAAAAUAUCAUCGAUUAUUAAAUCAAUCCAUAAAUGCACCAUGAAUAAUUAUGUCUACAUUCAACGAGAUGGGGCUAGCUAAAGCCCAAAGCCAGAGAAAAAUCGAGGCAGAGAACCUUCCAUCCCACACUAUAAAAUAGCACCUUCACACUCUCCAAUUUUCCCAUCACACUUAGCUAAUCUCAUUCAUAUCAAAUCUUCACUUCUCUUCCAUUUCUUCAAAUUAAAAAAAAAAGGGAAUCAUGGGUGCGAUCACUUAUGAUGUAGAGACCCCUUCCUCCAUCCCGGCCGGGAAGCUCUUCAAGGCCCUGGUGAUCGACUCCGACACCCUCCUCCCCAAGAUCCUGCCUCAGGCCAUCAAGAACGUCGAGAUCUUGGAAGGAGACGGCGGCGCCGGCACCGUCAAGAUCAUUCAUUUUGGCGAAGGGAGUCAGUAUAAGAGCGUCAAGCAUCGUGUCGAGGCCAUCGACAAGGACAACUUCACCUACACGUACAGCAUCCUUGAAGGUGAUGUUCUCUCAGAUGCCAUUGAAUCCAUCACUUACCAUAUCAAGGUCGUCCCAACCGAAGAUGGAGGAAGCAUCUGCAAGAACAGGAGCAUUUACAACACCAAGGGUGAUGCUGUGAUUGAUGAGGAGAAGAUCAAGGAGGGGAAAGACAAGGCCCAACAUAUGUUCAAGGCCAUUGAAGCUUACAUCACCGCCAACCCCGACUACUGAACGAGACGAGGCUUCGUAUAUCAAUGAUGUCAUUCUAUAUACGUGGUAUCUCUGAUGCGAGAGGAUCGGUGUGCGAGAGACUAUCUAUAGGCUUAAUUGCCUAGAGUGAUAUUGAUUUACUUUGUGUGGUUUUUGUAUUUGUGUUGAGUGAAUAUUACUGUAUUGAAUUUGUGUUGCACUAAAUAAAGAAGCAUAAUUAAUGUUGCAAGUUUGGUGGUAGUGGGAACAUUUUUAUUUUUCUCGUGGUUGUCUUGUUAUUUUAUUUAAGUGUAAUUAAUAACCGUAUAUUUCGGAUUACGCAUAUGAGUAUAAAUUAAAUUUCGUCUCAAAAUACAAUAACUUUUUUUUUUCUCUAGCUUUGCACCUGAUCAUAAAUAUUUUUGACGAAUAAAUAUUGAUAUAGAAGCCAAAGUUAUCUUUAUGUGCAACGAAAAUCUUCAUAAGCAAUAUAAUUUGAUUAGUAAUAAAAUAUUGUCGUUUCAUCAUAAAAUAAGUCUCAUAUUUUUAGAUGAUCAUUUAAGGCAUUAUUUUUCACAAUUUAAAAUUAAAGGGCUGCGAGUUCACGAUUGAUUCAUGAUUUUGGUUCAUAUAUUUAGGGCUUCGAGUCGUGGAUUCGUGAUUGAGUUGUGAAUGUUUGAAAAUAUCUUUAAUAUGCUUUGGAAAAAAAAAUUAUAUAUUUGGAGACAUGACUUAUGGCUCAUGUGCGAAAUAGAUAAAUGUUAUAAAAUUUUGUAUUUUAGAUACUAUAACCACUUUUAUUUAUUUUCGAGUUUGAGUUCAAAAUAUUACUCCCUCCGUCCCAAUAAAAGUGGCCACAUUUCCUUUUUGGGUGUCCCAUUAAAAGUGGCUACUUUCUAAAAAUGGCAAAAGUUUACUUUAAUUAAGUCAACAAUUACUCACUAAUUUGGUCAACAAUUGUAGGCCAUUUUCUAAAAAUGUCAAAAUUACUUACUAAUUUGGUCAACAAUUGUAGGCCACUUUCUAAAAAUUACUCACUAAUUUUGGUGGGUCACACUCAAUUAAAACAUAACAAUUCCCUUCUUAAUCUCCGUACCUAAAAAAAAGUGGUCAUUUUUAUUGGGACGGAGGGAGUAAUAAUUAAGGAAGACUAAUGAAUCUAGAGGUCAAUAUAUCGUUUAGGUUGCUCACUGACAAUGAAAUGAGUAAAAUUAAUAUAAAAAUAGGCACCAUGUGGAUUAAAUCGGAGUCUUUUUCAGGUUUAUUUAUUUNUUAGGUUAUUUAGUUUAGUUGGACAUAAAAGGGGUUGGGAGGUUUAAUUCACUCAUUAUAAAAAUUGACGGUGAAUUUUGGACCAAUUAAAGAGAAACAAUCUUUAGUUAUAUCAACUCUUAUUAUAUUUACGGAGACUAUUUAUAGAAAAUUCAAGAAUUUAUGAAUAACUUUUAAUAAAUUAAAUAUCCUUUAUACAUUUAUUUUCUUUAUCCAGUGACUAUUUAUUGGAUUGCUUAUCCAGUGACUUGAUUUUUAUUGUAUUGGAUAUUGAAUUAUUAUAGGGGUAAUUUUGACAUCUCGCCGGGGAUUUUUUAGACAAAACUUUAAAAUAAAAAAGUGCAAAUAAAAGUUACUAAUGCGAAAAAUAUUCUAAAUAUUAGACUUUUAAUAAUAUAGAGACUCUUUAACUCUUUACAGAAAUUAAUAUUUUUUAAACAAAAGAUACUAAUAAUAGAUUGUUUAUCCCCGUAUCUUAUAAAGUGACUAGAUUUGUACGUAGGUAUUAUUGUUCGUUUUUGAGUCAAAUGCUUAUUAUGCUGGUUUUAAAAGGCAGUACUGUAAUUACCAUGCAUAUUUUAAUAUUCGUAAGAAAAUUGUUAAGAAAGAUGGGUUAUUGUGUGAUCACAAGCUUGAGCAGACUUAUUCAAGGAUAUUUGCUGCUCAAAAUUUGUGUUCGCAUUGUCUUGCCAAAUACAUACAAGAGAAAGUGUAGACUAGUCUACCAUGGAGUGCUACAACCAAUAUUUGGUCUCAAAAUAAAUGCAAGUGUGAAUUUUUCUUCUUAUUCAGUUUCGAUAAUUGAAAUACCUCUCAAUUGACCCUACAAGAAUGCUUCAACUUGUGAUGUCAAAUCAAUUAUAGGUAAUAAAGACCGUGAAGUAAUAUCAAUAUAUGAUUAACUUACAUAGUUACAUAAAUCUAACAGAAAAAAAAACAAGAAGAAAAGUCCACAACGAGGCACUAACUAAUUUUGUAAAUGAUACUCUCUUCGUCCUCUAAAUAACUUCAUAUCUGUCCCCAAGGGGACACCAAGCGGUGCGAAUAGUGAAUAAAAAAUAAAAUAAAAAAUAAUUAUGUGAAUAGUGAGGUCUCGGGUUCAAACUCCACUGCCCCCCUCCCCAACACCCCCAUGUAAAAAAAUAAAAAAUAAUAAUAACUUCAUAUCUUUUUUUUAGGUUGUCUCCCAAAUAAUUUACUAGUACUUUAUUUUAGGACACUAUCCCAACUUUUCAUAAUACUUCAUUUAUUCUUUUUUUUUUCACCACUCUCAAUACUAAUUACAACACCUUUUCAUCUUUUAUUAUUAUUAUUAUUAUUAUUAUUAUUAUUAUUAUUAUUAUUAUUAUUAUUAUUAUUAUUAUUAUUAUUAUUAUGCACUCAAUAAUUUUAUCUUAAAAUCAAUGGGCCCCCUCAAAAGAUUAUUUGGAGGAUGGAGGGAGCAUAAUGCCAUGUUAUAUGACACCACAAAUAUCAUCAAUUAUUAAAUUCAAACCAUAAUUAAUGCAUCACGAAUAAUUGAGUUGCCAUUCAACGAAAUGGGGCUAAAGCCCAAAGCCAAAGAAAAGUCGAGGUAGAGAACCUUCCAUCCCACACUAUAAAAUAGCACCUCACACUCUCCAAUUUUCCCAUCACACUUAGCUAAUCUCAUUCAUAUAUAUCAAUCACUAAUCAAUCUUCACUUCUCCUCCAUUACUCCAAUUUUUUAAAAAAGAGAAUCAUGGGUGCGAUCACUUAUGAUGUAGAGACCCCUUCCUCCAUCCCGGCCGGGAAGCUCUUCAAGGCCAUCGUGCUCGAGCCGACACCCUCAUCCCCAAGAUCUUGCCUCAGGCCAUCAAGAACGUCGAGAUCUUGGAAGGAGACGGCGGCGCGGCACCGUAAGAUCGUUCAUUUUGGCGAAGGGAGUCAGUAUAAGAGCGUCAAGCACCGUGUCGAGGCCAUCGACAAGGAAACUUGACAUACACGUACACCAUCAUUGAAGGUGAUGCUCUCUCAGAUUUAUUGAAUCCGUCACUUAUCAUAUCAAGAUCGUCCCAACAGAAGAUGGAGGAAGCAUCUGCAAGAACAGGAGCAUUUACAACACCAAGGGCGAUGCUGUGAUUGAUGAGGAGAAGAUCAAGGAGGGGAAAGACAAGGCCCAACAUAUGUUCAAGGCUAUCGAGGCUUACCUCAUCGCCAACCCCGACUGCUGAAAGAGACGAGGCUUCUAUAUCGAUGAUGUCAUUUUUAUAUACGUGGUAUAUAUAUACCUGUGAUGCUAGAGAAUUGGUGUGCGAGAUAUUAUAAAUAGGCUGAAUUGCCUAGCUAGAGCGAUAUCAAUAUUGAUUUACUUUGUGUGGUUUUUGAAUUUGUGUUGAGUGAAUAUUAUUGUGAUGAUUUGUGUUGCACUAAAUAAAGAAGCAUAAUUAAUAUUGCAUGUUUGGUGG
rnacentral:lncRNA from 1 species